CCGCCCCGCGAGGGACGGCGCCGCCCCCGGGGGCUCGUGAUAUCUCAUCUCGCCGCCCGUCGCGAGGCGGACGGAGGGAUGGAUGAGGUUACCUGGAAAAAAUCGGGGCGAUCUAGGCGGGCGAACCUCGCCAACGAACGAUCGGACAUGGGAUAACGGAAGAGGGCGUCGGCUCGACUUCGUCGGUUCCUCGGGCCGAGGCACGUACGGUGAAUAGGGACGGUCGGGGCCGCCCGUACCGGGUCGUGAGAGGUGAAAUUCUAGGAUCGACCCGAGACGAACCGCCGCGAAAGCAUUCGGCAAGGACGCUUUCAUUAAUCAAGAACGAAAUCGGGGGAUCGAAGACGAUCAGAUACCGUCGUAGUCCCGACCGUAAACGAUGCCGACCGAGGGCCCGGAGGAGUUACGUACGACCCUCCGGGCCCUCCCGCGAGAAAUCAGGAGUAUUCGGGUUCCGGGGGGAG
rnacentral:rRNA from 1 species